rnacentral:lncRNA from 1 species
UAGGAAUAAGGGGAGGGAUAACCCCUUAUCCCCCCUUAUUACCCAAACGCAAAUAUUUUACUCGAGAAUAGUAAUUUUCAGGUACCUAAAAUAAGCUGGUAUAACUAUCCCACCAACACAUCCAUUUUCUAUAUAUAACUAUCCACUAUUUUUCUCAUUCCAUAUUAUCUAUCCAAACGCUAUUUUUUACUAAUUUUCAUUCAAACGCUAUUUUUUUUAUUCUCAUACUUGUACUUAUCCCUGUAAUAACUAGUUCUUGCUUAUACCCCAACCAAGCGAAGCCUGGUCUCGACACAUGUUUACCAAAAGUAAACCAAAAAAUA